UACAGAGGUCCCAAGCGUUUGUUCGGAUUCAUUGGGCGUAAAGGGUGCGUAGGUGGCGUCGUAAGUCGGGUGUGAAAUCGUCGGGGCCUUAACUCCGAAACUGCAUUCGAUACUGCGGUGCUUGAGGACUGGAGAGGAGACUGGAAUUUACGGUGUAGCAGUGAAAUGCGUAGAGAUCGUAAGGAAGACCAGUGGCGAAGGCGGGUCUCUGGACAGUUCCUGACGCUGAGGCACGAAGGUCAGGGGAGCAAACGGG
rnacentral:rRNA from 1 species